rnacentral:rRNA from 1 species
GACAGAGGGUGCAAACGUUGCUCGGAAUUACUGGGCGUAAAGCGCGUGUAGGCGGUUCCGCAAGUCAGGUGUGAAAGCCCAGGGCUCAACCCUGGAAGUGCACUUGAUACUACGGAGCUUGAGUACUGAAGAGGAGAGCGGAAUUCCCGGUGUAGAGGUGAAAUUCGUAGAUAUCGGGAGGAACACCAGUGGCGAAGGCGACUACCUGGCCUGUUCUUGACGCUGAGGCGCGAAAGCUAGGGGAGCAAACGGG